UGAGGAAUAUUGGGCAAUGCCCGAAAGGGUGACCCAGCAACGCCGCGUGGAGGAUGAAGGUCGUAAGAUUGUAAACUCCUGUUAGAGGGGAAGAAUAACUAAGUUUGGAGCUUAGUAUGACUGUACCCUCAGAGAAAGCCCCGGCUAACUACGUGCCAGCAGCCGCGGUAAUACGUAGGGGGCAAGCGUUGUCCGGAUUUACUGGGUGUAAAGGGCGCGCAGGCGGAAUGGAAAGUCAGUGGUGAAAUCCUACAGCUUAACUGUAGAACUGCCUUUGAUACUUUCAUUCUUGAGUUCGGGAGAGAGAGACGGAAUUCCAGGUGUAGUGGUGAAAUACGUAGAUAUCUGGAAGAACACCAGUUGCGAAGGCGGGCCCUUGGUCCGAUACUGACGCUGAGGCGCG
rnacentral:rRNA from 1 species